rnacentral:rRNA from 1 species
UACGUAGGUGGCAAGCGUUAUCCGGAUUUAUUGGGCGUAAAGGGAACGCAGGCGGUCUUUUAAGUCUGGUGUGGAAGCCUUCGGCUUAACCGGAGUAGUGCAUUGGAAACUGGGAGACUUGAGUGCAGAAGAGGAGAGUGGAACUCCAUGUGUAGCGGUGAAAUGCGUAGAUAUAUGGAAGAACACCAGUGGCGAAAGCGGCUCUCUGGUCUGUAACUGACGCUGAGGUUCGAAAGCGUGGGUAGCAAACAGG